ACACAGCACAUUAUUUUCUAUCUUGUUUUUGUCUCUAUACUAAUCUAGAACUAUAUAGAAGUAGAUCUGUACUGUCAAGCUAUUAAACCAGUUUUUUCCUAUAAUGGCUACUGUUGAUAGCAAUGAGGAGGAUGGGGAGAUGCAGUCAUCAACUGACUAUUAUGACCUCUUGCAAGUAGACAAAGAUGCAAGUCGAGCCGAUAUCAAGGCUGCUUAUCAUAAAAUGUCUCGAAAAUACCAUCCAGACAAAACCCUUGAUUCAA